AACCCCGCACCCACCAACUCCUCUUCCGCCGAGAAAUCAGCCGCCAUUCCUCCUAGCCUCUUCUCCAAGUGCCUCCCAUCUCGCUGGUCGCAUCUCGGCGUUCCGAAACGGACCACCACCGUGUGCCAGACGACCGAGGGCCCAGCCGUCGAUGCUUCUCGUCGACCCGUUGCGCCGGCCUCUAGGAGGAAGACUUCUAUGGUCUUGGAGCUCGGAGGCCGCAGUAAGGGAAGGAGCGCCACCACGAAGUGCAGACACCCCAACAACCGGCGGGGCGUCACGCUGGGCCACCGAGAGGCGUGGGGCUUCGUUGACCCUAUGCCGAGGAGAUGUGCUGACCCGUCGCGUAGAUCUUUGUAGUGGUGGCCCCAGCCAUCGAUGGCCAAUCGUUGCAACGACCUCCUAUCUCGACUGGCGGCGGUCAGUGUUGUGGACUACGGGGGUCGAUGUCGUCGCCGAUCAGUGUUUUCCCCAUCCACCGUGCAUGCUGGAGGUCAAUGGCAUAGGGGCGAUGACAUGCUCGUCAUCCCCUCCCACCGCUGCUUAUCUGGCGUACACGGAUGGCGUCGAUGUGUGCUAAGAUUGGAAAAGGGCGGCCAUGGAGGGAUGGAUGUGCAGGAUCUCCGGCGAGCGCUGGGUGACGACAAGGGGGUGGCAAUGGUUGCAUAGUGCUUUAGGGAGUAAUUUGUAAUUUUAUUUUUUAUGGUGCACAUUUUGAUUUUGGUGGCAUUUGUCAUUUAUUUUUGUUGAGUGAUAUUGCCUGAGUUAUUAAAAAAAUAACUGAUGUGACGAAAAUGUUAAUUUUUUUAGGGAUGAAAAUGUUAAUUAUGGAUAUUGAUUUGGAUAGAAUUUGUGGGCUGAA